rnacentral:tRNA from 1 species
GCUCAGGUGGUGAAAUUGGUAGACACGCUGUCUUCAGGCGGCAGUGCCGAGAGGUAUAGGGGUUCGAAUCCCCUCCUGAGCACCA